UACGAAGGGGGCUAGCGUUGCUCGGAAUGACUGGGCGUAAAGGGCGCGUAGGCGGAUGGCUUUGUCGGGCGUGAAAUUCCAGGGCUUAACCUUGGGGCUGCGUUCGAGACGGGUUGUCUUGAGUGGGGAAGAGGGUCGUGGAAUUCCCAGUGUAGAGGUGAAAUUCGUAGAUAUUGGGAAGAACACCAGUGGCGAAGGCGACUCACUGGACACAUAUUGACGCUGAGGUGCGAAAGCGUGGGGAGCAAACAGG
rnacentral:rRNA from 1 species